AGUGAACGCUGGCGGUAGGCCUAACACAUGCAAGUCGAACGGCAGCACAGUAAGAGCUUGCUCUUACGGGUGGCGAGUGGCGGACGGGUGAGGAAUACAUCGGAAUCUACUUUUUCGUGGGGGAUAACGUAGGGAAACUUACGCUAAUACCGCAUACGACCUACGGGUGAAAGCAGGGGAUCUUCGGACCUUGCGCGAUUGAAUGAGCCGAUGUCGGAUUAGCUAGUUGGCGGGGUAAAGGCCCACCAAGGCGACGAUCCGUAGCUGGACUGAGAGGAUGAUCAGCCACACUGGAACUGAGACACGGUCCAGACUCCUACGGGAGGCAGCAGUGGGGAAUAUUGGACAAUGGGCGCAAGCCUGGUCCAGCCAUACCGCGUGGGUGAAGAAGGCCUUCGGGUUGUAAAGCCCUUUUGUUGGGAAAGAAAAGCAGCAGGUUAAUACCCCGCUGUUCUGACGGUACCCAAAGAAUAAGCACCGGCUAACUUCGUG
rnacentral:rRNA from 1 species